UGGAGUUAUCUGCUGCAGUCGUUGCCACGAGAUUAGAUCGAAUAAUCCGCUCUGAAUCAGAUCUUGAAAUCGAUCGAUCGUAUUUCUGGACCGACAGUACGUGUGUCUUGCGAUAUAUCCACAACGAAGCUACGAGAUUCCAAACGUUCAUUGCGAAUCGGAUCACGAAGAUAAGAGAGUUAUCUGAGCCCUCACAAUGGCGUUAUGUCGACACCCAGUCAAAUCCUGCUGAUGACGCCUCGAGAGGAGUGUCUGCAGAUUGCUUGGAACGUUGGAUACAUGGUCCAGACUUUCUUACACAGUCGAGCGAAACGUGGCCAAAGCAACCCGAUGAUCUUUGUAAUCUACCAGAAGAUCAACCUGAACUAAAGAAAGCUAUUGUAUGCGCAGCCGGAACCCCCAACCAUCUACUACUGCUACACCCUGGACCCUCUAUUCCACCUGGAAAGUUUUCGAGAAACGACAACUGUAGCGUGCGUCGUUGGCGGCAGGUGCAAUAUCUCGCUGACCUGUUCUGGCGACGUUGGCAUCGUGAGUAUUUGCCUUCUUUACAACAGAGACAAAAAUGGAACGAGUUGCGGAGAAACGUGGAAGUCAACGAUAUUGUUUUGGUGCUUGAUUAGAAAUCCCCUCGCAGUUCGUGGCCACUUGGUCGUGUUCUCGAAGUAUACACCAACAAGAAGGAUGGUUUAGUGCGAUCGGCGAAGAUCAAGACAUCCACGUCAGUUAUGGUUCGACCAAUAAGCAAGAUGAUCCUGCUGGAAGAAGCUCAUAACGAUAAGUAGAAACACUUUAAUUAGUAGAUUAUAAGCGCUCAAACCUUUAUACUGUGCAGUAUAUUUUUUUGUAAAGGUUAUCCCGUAGGUAACCUUUAAGGGGCCGGUAUGUUGGUUUGAAACGCUUACUUAAAAUUAGUUCAUUAUGUUUUAGUUAAUAAUAUAGUUAAUUUGAUUGAUACAAGGACGGAAACGGCUAUACCGUAUGUUCCUAAUAGACUAGAUAGCGUGAGUUAGUAAAGUUGUGACUGCGUCAGAGUAAGGACGUGUAAUUGCUACAAGCUAUUUAAACUGAAAGGGACAUUUCUACGUUUUUUUACGAAGAACUGCUAUUGAAUUCAUCGCUACUCGUUUGGUACAAGUGUAAACCAAAGUACGUAAGUUUUACAGUAUUGUAUGUGCUUGUUAGUUUUGUUAGUCAAUGACAUUUGUGUGUUAGUUUUCGCAUGCAUUAAGUAACAUAGUUAAGUAGUUUAUUUUAUUGUCAUGUUUCAGUUCGAACCUACAAUCUACAAUCUAU